rnacentral:miRNA from 1 species
UACCUCAUUGACCAGAAGGGAUUCCUUCCAUCACUGAGGUUGUUAUACCUCAUUGACUGGAAGGAAUCCCUUCUGGCCAAUGAGGUU